GAUGAAGAACGUAGCGAAAUGCGAUAAGUAAUGUGAAUUGCAGAAUUCAGUGAAUCAUCGAAUCUUUGAACGCACAUUGCGCCCGCCAGUAUUCUGGCGGGCAUGCCUGUCUGAGCGUCAUUUCAACCCUCAUGCCCCUAGGGCGUGGUGUUGGGGAUCGGCCAAAGCCCGCGAGGGACGGCCGGCCCCUAAAUCUAGUGGCGGACCCGUCGUGGCCUCCUCUGCGAAGUAGUGAUAUUCCGCAUCGGAGAGCGAUGAGCCCCUGCCGUUAAACCCCCAACUUUCCAAGGUUGACUUCAGAUCAGGUAGGAAUACCCGCUGAACUUAAGCAUAUCAAUAAGCGGAGGA
rnacentral:misc_RNA from 1 species